GACGAACGCUGGCGGCGUGCUUAACACAUGCAAGUGGAGCGACGAACUGGGGGCUUGCCCCGGGCAGAGCCGCGAACGGGUGAGUAACACGUGGGUAACCCACCCCGACUGACCGGGACGAACCCGACGGAAACUACGGGCGUAAUACCGGAUGUGCUCCUUGACCUCGAGGUCAAGGUGUAAAGAUAGCUUCGGCCUUCGCAUCGGGCGGGCCCGCGGCCCAUUAGCUUGUUGGUGGGGUAACGGCCUACCAAGGCGACGAUGGG
rnacentral:rRNA from 1 species